UACAGAGGGUGCAAGCGUUGUUCGGAAUUAUUGGGCGUAAAGGGUGCGUAGGCGGUGCGGUAAGUCUGUAGUGCAAUCUCUGGGCUCAACUCAGAGUCUGCUAUAGAAACUGCCGUGCUUGAGUGUGGGAGAGGGUAGUGGAAUUCCCGGUGUAGUGGUGAAAUGCGUAGAUAUCGGGAGGAACACCAGUGGCGAAGGCGACUACCUGGCCUGUUUCUUGACGCUGAGGCGCGAAAGCUAGGGGAGCAAACGGG
rnacentral:rRNA from 1 species